rnacentral:rRNA from 1 species
GCCAGACUCCUACGGGAGGCAGCAGUGAGGAAUAUUGGUCAAUGGGCGCGAGCCUGAACCAGCCAAGUCGCGUGAGGGAUGACGGCCCUACGGGUUGUAAACCUCUUUUGCCGGGGAGCAACGGGCGCCACGUGUGGCGCCACUGAGAGUACCCGGAGAAAAAGCAUCGGCUAACUCCGUGCCAGCAGCCGCGGUAAUACGGAGGAUGCGAGCGUUAUCCGGAUUUACUGGGUGUAAAGGGGGCGCAGACGGCAAUGCAAGCCAGGAGUGAAAGCCCGGGGCCCAACCCCGGGACUGCUCUUGGAACUGCAUGGCUGGAGUACAGGAGGGGCAGGCGGAAUUCCUAGUGUAGCGGUGAAAUGCGUAGAUAUUAGGAGGAACACCGGUGGCGAAGGCGGCCUGCUGGACGACAACUGACGGUGAGGCGCGAAAGCGUGGGGAGCAAACAGGAUUAGAUACCCCAGUAGUA